rnacentral:lncRNA from 1 species
GGAAAUAAAAAUACAUUGCUUUAAUAUCCCACCAGUAUUAUGCCCCUUACGAUACAAAGGGGGAAAAUAUGAAGCAAACCUAUUGUUCAUUGUGACUUUAUACUCCAGGCAUACAUGACUUUUUAAUAAAGACCUUGCCCUGCAGCACCUGGACCUGGGGAGUUGUUUCAUCAGUUAUGCUAAUGAGGCCCAGGCUCAGUUAGUCUUGUUUAUGAAAAUUUCUUUGUUGAAAAUAUGUCAUAUUUCUACAUUUUCUUAAAAAUAUGAUUCCAAGUACUUUCAAGGGUCUUUGCAGCCAAAAAAAUGACUUGAUUUUGUGACGUAUGCCUUUCCUAUUUUCCUUCCAUGUUGCCUUUAUGGUUCCUACCCUGAAUGGGAAAUAUGCUUCAAAAUAUCUCCAUUAAUUAAUAGAGAGCUUUGCUCUUUGGUUAAAUGAUUUUGAUUGAUCUGCAUUCUGUUUGCACAUAGAUAUGCUAAAAUUCUUUUUACUGACUUUCUUCCCAUCAAUAUUACCUUAAGAUGAUUAAAGGCAAAAGCUUCUGGGAGCUAAUAUCAAAAUGGCAAAGAGGAAGGAACUCUUCAGGUGGAAUAGAGAGAAAAUGACCAUCUCCAUGAGCAUCUUGAGACAAGAGAAACAGCAGAACUUACUUCCUUUCCUUUUACUGAGGAAAGAAAAUCCCCCCUUGGGAGAUAAACUUCCUUAAAAACAAAGAACAAGUGAAUUGUAAGUCCUGCCUUUUCUCCUUACAGACUUCAUAAAAAAAAAAAAAAAGUCAGCAUGUUACAUAUUGACAUUUGCAUUUGAUUAUGGUAUUUAUUAUUUAUCAUCACAACUUUUCUUUGCCUGAAAAAUUGUUUCUGUAAUUUUCUGGAGAAUC